rnacentral:rRNA from 1 species
GGGGAAUAUUGGACAAUGGACCAAGAGUCUGAUCCAGCAAUUCUGUGUGCACGAUGAAGUUUUUCGGAAUGUAAAGUGCUUUCAGUUGGGAAGAAAAAAAUGACGGUACCAACAGAAGAAGUGACGGCUAAAUACGUGCCAGCAGCCGCGGUAAUACGUAUGUCACAAGCGUUAUCCGGAUUUAUUGGGCGUAAAGCGCGUCUAGGUGGUUAUAUAAGUCUGAUGUGAAAAUGCAGGGCUCAACUCUGUAUUGCGUUGGAAACUGUGUAACUAGAGUACUGGAGAGGUAAGCGGAACUACAAGUGUAGAGGUGAAAUUCGUAGAUAUUUGUAGGAAUGCCGAUGGGGAAGCCAGCUUACUGGACAGAUACUGACGCUGAAGCGCGAAAGCGUGGGUAGCAAACAGGAUUAGAUACCCUGGUAGUCCACGCCGUAAACGAUGAUUACUAGGUGUUGGGGGUCGAACCUCAGCGCCCAAGCAAACGCGAUAAGUAAUCCGCCUGGGGAGUACGUACGCAAGUAUG